AUGGUUGCUAAAUUUUUACCUCCUAGCUUCACAUACCAACAAAAGAAAAAGUUUUUCUAUGACUUGCGACAUUACUUUUGGGAUGACCCACAUCUUUAUAAAGAAGGAGUAGAUGGUGUUAUUAGACGUUGUGUACCUAAGCAUGAACAGGAACAGAUCCUACGCAAGUGCCACUCCGAAGCUUAUGGAGGACACCAUGCUGGAGAUAGAACUGCACAUAAGGUAUUGCAAUCCGGUUUUUAUUGGCCUACUCUCUUCAAAGAUGCCUGUAAGUUUGUUUUGUCUUGCGAUGAAUGUCAAAGAAUUGAUAAUAUUAGUAGACGUCAAGAAAUGCCUAUGAAUUAUUUGCUUGUUAUUGAGCCAUUUGAUGUUUGGGGCUUUGAUUAUAUGGGACCUUUUCCUGCCUCUAAUGGUUACACUCAUAUUUUAGUUGCUGUAGAUUACGUUACUAAGUGGGUAGAAGCUAUUCCAACUAGUAGUGCUGAUCAUAACACUUCUAUUAAAAUGCUUAAGGAAGUUAUCUUUCCGAGGUUUGGAGUCCCUAGAUACUUAAUGACUGAUGGUGGUUCACACUUUAUUCAUGUUGCUUUUCGUAAGAUGCUUGCUAAAUAUGACGUUAACCAUGGGAUUACAUCCCCUUAUCACCCGCAGUCUAGUGGUCAAGUAGAAUUGAGCAAUAGAGAGCUCAAAUUAAUUUUGCAAAAGACUGUUAAUAGGUCUAGAAAGAAUUGA
rnacentral:rRNA from 1 species